rnacentral:rRNA from 1 species
CUGGCGCGUGCCUAAUACAUGCAAGUCGAGCGAACGGACGAGAAGCUUGCUUCUCUGAUGUUAGCGGCGGACGGGUGAGUAACACGUGGAUAACCUACCUAUAAGACUGGGAUAACUUCGGGAAACCGGAGCUAAUACCGGAUAAUAUUUUGAACCGCAUGGUUCAAAAGUGAAAGACGGUCUUGCUGUCACUUAUAGAUGGAUCCGCGCUGCAUUAGCUAGUUGGUAAGGUAACGGCUUACCAAGGCAACGAUGCAUAGCCGACCUGAGAGGGUGAUCGGCCACACUGGAACUGAGACACGGUCCAGACUCCUACGGGAGGCAGCAGUAGGGAAUCUUCCGCAAUGGGCGAAAGCCUGACGGAGCAACGCCGCGUGAGUGAUGAAGGUCUUCGGAUCGUAAAACUCUGUUAUUAGGGAAGAACAUAUGUGUAAGUAACUGUGCACAUCUUGACGGUACCUAAUCAGAAAGCCACGGCUAACUACGUGCCAGCAGCCGCGGUAAUACGUAGGUGGCAAGCGUUAUCCGGAAUUAUUGGGCGUAAAGCGCGCGUAGGCGGUUUUUUAAGUCUGAUGUGAAAGCCCACGGCUCAACCGUGGAGGGUCAUUGGAAACUGGAAAACUUGAGUGCAGAAGAGGAAAGUGGAAUUCCAUGUGUAGCGGUGAAAUGCGCAGAGAUAUGGAGGAACACCAGUGGCGAAGGCGACUUUCUGGUCUGUAACUGACGCUGAUGUGCGAAAGCGUGGGGAUCAAACAGGAUUAGAUACCCUGGUAGUCCACGCCGUAAACGAUGAGUGCUAAGUGUUAGGGGGUUUCCGCCCCUUAGUGCUGCAGCUAACGCAUUAAGCACUCCGCCUGGGGAGUACGACCGCAAGGUUGAAACUCAAAGGAAUUGACGGGGACCCGUACAA